AACAAUAAAUGUUGACCGCUCGAUUAAUUUCUUCCUCCUCUCCUUCCGCCGGACUCUGCCGAUCUCCACGACGACCGUUUCGAUCGUCUUCGAGUUCUGAUUCGAGGACAAGGUGACGGAGAACGCGACAUGAAAGAGCGAGCGACACGGGGAAGGAGAUGCGUCGCCGCGCUCCUCGCUUACUUGGCCGCCCUCGCCCUGGCGUCGCUCUUCCUCUCGCCCGCCGGCGCCCUGCGGUUCGAGCUCGAAUCAGGGCACACCAAGUGCGUAACCGAGGACAUCAAGCUCCACGCCAUGGCCGUCGGGAAGUACUCCGUCGUCAUCCCGUCUGACGCCGCCCAGCUCCCCGAUUCUCACAAAAUCACCGUUAAGGUUACUUCGCCCUACGGUAAUAGCAUUCACUACGAAGAUCGCGUGGAAUCAGGCACCUUUGCCUUUAGCGCGAACGAGGAAGGCGACUACUUGGCGUGCGUGUGGGCGCCCUACCACCAACCGUCUGCUACGUUGACAGUGGAGUUUGAGUGGCGGACUGGUGUCGCCGCCAAGGACUGGACCAACGUUGCCAAGAAGGGGCAGAUCGAAGGCAUGGAACUGGAGUUGAAGAAGUUGGAAGAUACUGUGAAGUCCAUCCAUGAUGAAAUGUUUUAUCUUCGUGAAAGAGAGGAGCAAAUGCAAGAAAUGAACAGAUCUACCAACUCUAGGAUGGCUUGGCUAAGUUUCCUUUCACUUGCUGUCUGUCUUUCAGUAGCCGGCUUGCAGUUAUGGCAUCUAAAGAAAUUUUUUGAGAAAAAGAAGUUGCUAUGAUCCUACUGCAGCAACUAGUUCGUGACUUUGACAUUUAUUUAUGUUAGGGUGUACUCAAUAUCAGGAAGCUCAACUUUUAUCAGCUUUACUCUCCAACCUUUUCCUGGUUCUUUUUUGGAACUCAAAAACCCCUUGUUAGCACGUUCUUUUUCCCUAGUUGUCAUUUUACGUUCUUAAAUUUUCCUAUACUGAUGAUUGUAAACUUCAUAUUGGCUUAAGUUGCUUCCUUGAAUUUAUGCAGACACUUAUCAGGUUUUUCUUUCAUAUUGGCUAUUCCAUGCUGAAAAGUAUAUUUUUACCACCUUGAAAGGCAUAGACAGAUAGUUAGAGCAUGCCAUGUAUAGUUUAGAUUUAAAAAAAGAAAAAAGAAAAAUAAUGAUAAUCUGUUUCGUUUUCUAAUAGUUAGGCCCUUGUUGGCUACUGAAUUCCACUUAGGAAAUCUCUUUUUUUUUUUUUCAACUUUUGGAGGAUAUAAUUCCACAGACAUUUGUCUCUCUCCUCCUCCUCUGCUAGUGAGAACAUUUAGUAGGUGAUCUGAUUGCCAUCCUCAGAUCGUUCUCCUAUAAGUCCAUGUCCUACAUCAAUGGUAUGGCCUCCUUUUUCUCCCCAAACUAUCUGCUACAAUUCCAACUGCCCCAUGAAGAUGAACACCGGCAACUCCCAGCACCAGUCAUGCCUCCAUUCCACAACCUGCAAGACCUCACAGCCACGGCUCCACUUCUCUCUCCCGUGCUAGGGAAAAGAUCCAUGUCCUUGUCGGGGAUCGGUAACGCAAGCGACGCAAAGGCUGAGGAUGGGUUCUCUGAUGAUGGCAUGCAAUCAGGGGAGAAGAGGAGGAGGCUGAACACAGAACAAGUGAGGGCACUGGAGAGGAGCUUCGAGCUGCAAGGAAAUAAACUAGAGUCAGAUAGGAAACUGCAGUUGGCCGCCGCAUUGGGGCUGCAUCCAAGGCAGAUAGCCAUUUGGUUCCAGAACAGGAGGGCCAAGUGGAAGACCAAGCAGCUGGAGAUGGAUUAUGAGCUGCUCAAGACCCAAUUUGAUGCAUUCAAAUCCCGGAACAAGGCCCUGAAACAGCACAACAAGAAGCUCCAAUCUGAGAUCUUGGCUCUCAAAGGCAGGGAAACAACACCACAAGUCAUCAAUCUCAAUAAAGAAACCGAAGGUUUUUUCAGCAAUAUGAGUCGGAACACCUCUGAGAUCGAACAAUAUUACAAGAAUGUUGAAAAUAUUCUAGAGGAUGGAAGUUUCUGUAACUCACUGUGCUGCAUGGGCGAUCAUUAUUUGGUACCCUUUUGGUCAAGGUCAUAACACCUCGGCUUCCAUUGAUACAUCAUGCUGAGCUAGCUAGGAAUGGAAAGCAGCAUCCAAGUAAAGAUAAAAUGUUGUUAAAUAUUUCAAUCUGGUUUGUGUAUUAUAAAGUAGGAAAAGCCGAUGUAAUUUUAAUAAAAUUGUGUAUUUUUUGUCAAUUAUAAUCGCCGAGGCUGUUUUGCAA